UUGCUGUUUGGGGACGCCAACACUGCUUACUUCCAGGCCAUCGCUAAUGGCCGUAGGCAUCGCUGCUCCAUUCCCCUAUUAUGGGAGGGAGGUCAGCUGUUUCAGGAUCCUCAGGCUAUCCGCUUGUUGGUCGACGACUUUUACAAGUCAUUAUUUCAUGGGCGUCCUCGGAGUGGUAUCGCCCUUGCUGACCAUAUUUGGUCGCCCGACCAACAUAUCUCCUCGGAGGAAAAUGCGGCCCUGCUCGCCCCUUUUGAUGUCGCGGAAGUGGAGGCCUUUGUCAAAGCCAUGAACCCGGCCUCGACCCCAGGCCCCGAUGGAUUGCCGGUCUUUUUUCAGGCUUUCUGGCCAAUGGUCAAGGAGAUCAUCCUUGAUUUAUUCUGUGAGUUCUCUAGGGGAACAUUAGACGUGUCCUAGAUUAACUACGGGAUCAUCUCCCUGAUCCCCAAGGUGCUGAGUGCAACGGACAUUAGGCAGUUCCGCCCUAUCACUGUC
rnacentral:rRNA from 1 species